rnacentral:rRNA from 1 species
UACGUAGGGUGCGAGCGUUAAUCGGAAUUACUGGGCGUAAAGCGUGCGCAGGCGGUUCGUUGUGUCGGCGGUGAAAGCCCCGGGCUUAACCUGGGAAUGGCCGUUGAAACUGGCGAACUGGAGUGUGGCAGAGGGGGGUGGAAUUCCGCGUGUAGCAGUGAAAUGCGUAGAGAUGCGGAGGAACACCGAUGGCGAAGGCAGCCCCCUGGGACAACACUGACGCUGAGGCACGAAAGCGUGGGGAGCAAACAGG